rnacentral:rRNA from 1 species
UACGUAGGGUGCAAGCGUUAUCCGGAAUUAUUGGGCGUAAAGAGCUCGUAGGCGGUUUGUCACGUCUGCUGUGAAAACUGGAGGCUCAACCUCCAGCCUGCAGUGGGUACGGGCAGACUAGAGUGCGGUAGGGGAGAUUGGAAUUCCUGGUGUAGCGGUGGAAUGCGCAGAUAUCGAGAGGAACACCUGCGGGGAAGGCGGGUUGCUGGGCUGACACUGACGCUGGGGCGCGAAAGCUAGGGGAGCGAACGGG